GCCUCAGUAACGGCGAGUGAAGCGGCAACAGCUCAAAUUUGAAAUCUGGCCCUCUCGGGGUCCGAGUUGUAAUUUGUAGAGGAUGCUUCGGGUGUGGUGCCAGUCUAAGUUCCUUGGAACAGGACGUCGUAGAGGGUGAGAAUCCCGUAUGUGACUGGAUGCCUAACUCAUGUGAAGCUCCUUCGACGAGUCGAGUUGUUUGGGAAUGCAGCUCUAAAUGGGUGGUAAAUUUCAUCUAAAGCUAAAUACCGGCCAGAGACCGAUAGCGCACAAGUAGAGUGAUCGAAAGAUGAAAAGCACUUUGGAAAGAGAGUUAAAAAGCACGUGAAAUUGUUGAAAGGGAAGCGCUUGCAAUCAGACUUGCCUGCAGUUGAUCAACCGGUGUUCUCACCGGUGUACGCUUCUGCAGUCAGGCCAGCAUCAGUUUGGGCGGCUGGACAAAGGCCCUGGGAAUGUAGCUCCCUCUGGGGAGUGUUAUAGCUCAGGGUGCAAUGCAGCCCGCCUGGACUGAGGACCGCGCUUCUGCUAGGAUGCUGGCGUAAUGGUUGUAAGCGACCCGUCUUGAAACACGGACCAAGGAGUCUAACAUCUAUGCAAGUGUUUGGGCGUCAAACCCAUGCGCGUAAUGAAAGUGAACGGAGGUGGGAACCCUCAAGGGUGCACCAUCGACCGAUCCUGAUGUCUUCGGAUGGAUUUGAGUAAGAGCAUAACUGUUGGGACCCGAAAGAAGGUGAACUAUGCCUGAAUAGGGUGAAGCCAGAGGAAACUCUGGUGGAGGCUCGCAGCGGUUCUGACGUGCAAAUCGAUCGUCAAAUUUGGGUAUAGGGGCGAAAG
rnacentral:rRNA from 1 species